ensembl:snoRNA
CUGCAAGCUUCCAGCAUACUUGGGUCUGGGGUGACCCUGUAAAUUCCUUCAGUGCUUGCAAGAAUGUGAUGAAACUAUUUGAGGUCUUAGCUUGGUUCAUCCAGAGAAAGGUUAUAGAAAUUUCAGGCAAUA